AUUGAACGCUGGCGGCAGGCCUAACACAUGCAAGUCGAGCGAGAGGCGGACGGGUGAGUAAUGUAUGGGGACUGCCCGUUAGAGGGGGAUAACUACUGGAAACGGUGGCUAAUACCGCAUACUGUAGGAUAACCCAUAUGGGAUUAGCUAGUAGGUAAGGUAAUGGCUUACCUAGGCGACGAUCCCUAGCUGGUCUGAGAGGAUGAUCAGCCACACUGGGACUGAGACACGGCCCAGACUCCUACGGAGGCAGCAGUGGGGAAUAUUGCACAAUGGGCGAAAGCCUGAUGCAGCCAUGCCGCGUGUGUGAAGAAGGCCCUAGGGUUGUAAAGUACUUUCAGUCGGGAGGCGUUACCGACAGAAGAAGCACCGGCUAACUCCGUGCCAGCAGCCGCGGUAAUAC
rnacentral:rRNA from 1 species